CUGGGUAAUAAGAGCGAAACUCCAUCUCAAAAAAAAAAAAAAGGCAUCGAAAAUGUAAACUAUUUUUAGGUAGUUGGACUUAAGGUAACUAUCUUUUUCUGCAGGUCUCUAAAGUUCACCAACUUUGCCAACUGCCUUGACUUUCUCUCCCAGAUCUUCACAUUUAUUGAGCACCUGCUAUGUUCCUGGCACUGCUGAAUGCAGGGGUCAUAACUGACAUCCGUCUUGGCUCUGCCCAGAACAUUCAGAAUGCAGUGGCCUCCUGAAUGAGCUACCUCACUCACCUGGCUCUUCAAUUUGGUCUUGGAAAAAGGCCUCCGCCUCCUCUUCCUCACCAUCAGUGAGCAGCAGCAGCUCCUCAUGGGGCCAGUGGAGAUCCCCACUCUCUUCAUUCACCUCAGAGGCUCCCACCACAAUAGAUGGCAGAUGGGACUUUUGAGAGAAAACCUGAAUAGGGACAGCAGGGAGGUUGGCCCAAAUUGGAGGGUAAGCCAGCUGUCAGACACAAGGUGGGGAAGUACUAACCUGAAUAUCCUGGUGACCUUCAGCCUUGCCAAUCUCUCCUCUGUCCCCGAGACGGUUGGGCAGCCUGGGACUUUCUGGAUGCUGGGGGGAGCCUAGGCUAUUUCUAUUCCAAAGCCCAUCCUCCUCGCUGCUCCCUGGCACAAGGGCCAUGGUGGUGAUUCUUAGGAGUGCAAGAUGAUUGAACUCAGAGGAGAGUACUCCUUGCCCAGUGCACCCCACAAACUGUUCCUCUAAUCUUCUUUGGAGCCUGGCUCCUUAAGCACUGACGUGCUAGGCGAUUAUGGGCUUCCUGGGGAGGGGAAAAUGCCUAAGAAGUGAGAUAGGAUCUUUAUUUCUACUUACUCCAUGGAGACACUGGGAUGGCAGCAAGGGUAGGAGACAAGGGCACCUGGAUUAAAGCCCUAUGAGCCGAGAGUUUUGAUAACAACUUGGAAUUUCCUGACUCCUUUGCUUACUGAUUUUCCCAAGCUGGCAUGUUUAUAUGUUAUUUAAUGAAUAUUUUCAUGGUGUUUA